UUGGUUGAAGCUAAAGUUAGCAGCACUUCACUGUUAAUGGAGUUUAGAAAAUUUAUUUUCCAACUAAG
rnacentral:tRNA from 1 species